UUAAAUGAAUGAACCUAGAAU
rnacentral:miRNA from 1 species